rnacentral:lncRNA from 1 species
CAACACUCUAAUAAACACAGUACAGGUUGAUUAAAAGAUAUCCAUCUAUAUAAAGCUCUUGUUUGGUUCUACCCGAGUGCUGCUAAAUGUGAUGGUGGAGUUGCUGCUUGUGAAGAUGCCUUUUCACUCAUUGACUUCACCCACUCACUCCUUCAGCUCCUAAUCCUGCCGGUUUGAGCCACUACUUUGCCUAAUAUUCUCCUACCAAAAGGAACAACACAUUCACGCAUCCGUUCAGUCAGUCAUGAAAAUUAUGAUAAGCAGGAGAGGCUCGACUAUGAAUCAAUCGAUCCAUGCCCCCUUACCGAGGUGGAAUUCAUGGUGACAUGAGAGACUCAUCAUCAUCAAUGUCUCCGCACAACCACAAUGAGGCAGGUUCAUACAUCUAGCUGAUAUUGGUUAUUACUCGAUGAUUCGCUGUCAUCCCCGUGUCUUCUGUUGGUAGCGAAAAAGUUGAGCAGUUUUACAUCAACAAUUACAUAAAAAUAAAAUUAUUGUGUUGUCUUCUCCGUGGUGUAAGACUACUUAGUAGGGUGCAUGUCAACGGAACAAUAAGAUGCGUUUUGUAUGAAUUUGAACCCAUAAAUCUCAGACAUGUGAACAAACAGACAUUCAAUUAUUAGUCCGACAGUCUAGUUAGUUUAAAAAAUACUGAGUUGCAUAUAACUUUCAGGUGAGCAACAAACAAAAAUCUCUAUAACCACAUGCUUGUUAUUGGAGAGUGAACAGUUGUUAUUUCACGUAUCUUACCUUCAUAGACAAUAGAGGAAAACUUCAACUCCAUUAUUGACACUAUCUCCAUUGCAAGAUUCAGGCAAGAAUUUCUGUUGAGAACCAGUGAAAAAACUAUUAUUAAAAAUACAGGACCACAUGAUGAAGCACGUACUAUUUCAUUUUUCAGUCCUACAGUGUAACAUCAAGAAACAAGCGCUAAUUAAUUCAAGAAUUACAUCAUAACUUUCAGUUGAGAACCAAAUAAAAGUUCCUAUUUCAUUUUUCAGUCCCACGGUGUAACAUCAAGAAAGAGCGCUAAUUAAUUCAAGAAUUACAUCAUAACUUUCAGGUGAGAAACAAAUAAAAGUUCCUAUAACCACUUGCUUGUUCUUGGUGGAUCAAAAUUUAAAACAUGAAGGCAAGCUGCAAGUUGUCAAUAGGAUCUGGACAACACCUGAAGCUUCCACCGUUCAGCUGUGUGUGUGAGAGAGAAAAAGUGGGAGAGGACGGCUAACAAGAUGAUAGAUUUGAUGCGAGGAAUGGGGGUGAAGAGGGUGGGUACCUGUGGUUGAGUGCUCCCAGUCCCACGGUAGUGGUUACUGGCUCUUGGCAUUGAUGAAGAGAAGAAGAGGGGGGUCAACACAAUAGAGGAAUAGAAAAAGAAAAAAGAACACUGAGUAAUAGAUAAUGAAUUUUUCUUGUAUUUGUAGGCUGUAACAUAGCAAAAGAGGGCUCAGUUUUGUCUUUGAUCUUCAAGCCUAACACUCACAUCUCUUGCUGCAUGACAUACCCAUCAC